UACGUAGGGUGCAAGCGUUAAUCGGAAUUACUGGGCGUAAAGCGUGCGCAGGCGGUUUUGUAAGUCUGACGUGAAAUCCCCCGGGCUCAACCCUGGGAAUUGCGUUGGAGACUGCAAGGCUAGAAUCUGGCAGAGGGGGGGUAGAAUUCCACGUGUAGCAGUGAAAUGCGUAGAUAUGUGGAGGAACACCGAUGGCGAAGGCAAUCCCCCUGGGCCUGCACUGACGCUCCAUGCACGAAAGCGUGGGGAGCAACAGG
rnacentral:rRNA from 1 species